rnacentral:rRNA from 1 species
CGCGUAGGCGGCCUGAUAAGUAGGGGGUGAAAUCCUGCGGCUUAACCGCAGGGCUGCCUUCUAAACUGUCAGGCUAGAGCACAGUAGAGGCAGGUGGAAUCCCCGGUGUAGCGGUGGAAUGCGUAGAGAUCGGGAAGAACAUCAGUGGCGAAGGCGGCCUGCUGGGCUGUUGCUGACGCUGAGGCGCGACAGCGUGGGGAGCAAACA